ACUACGGGAGGCAGCAGUAGGGAAUCUUCCACAAUGGACGAAAGUCUGAUGGAGCAACGCCGCGUGAGUGAAGAAGGGUUUCGGCUCGUAAAGCGCUGUUGGUAGUGAAGAAAGAUAGAGGUAGUAACUGGCCUUUAUUGGACGGUAAUUACUUAGAAAGUCACGGCUAACUACGUGCCAGCAGCCGCGGUAAUACGUAGGUGGCAAGCGUUGUCCGGAUUUAUUGGGCGUAAAGCGAGUGCAGGUGGGUCAAUACGUCGGAUGUGAAAGCCUUCGGCUCAACCGGAGAAUUGCAUCAGAAACUGUUGAACUUGAGUGCAGAAGAGGAGAGUGGAACUCCAUGUGUAGCGGUGGAAUGCGUAGAUAUAUGGAAGAACACCAGUGGCGAAGGCGGCUCUCUGGUCUGCAACUGACGCUGAGGCUCGAAAGCAUGGGUAGCGAACAGGAUUAGAUACCCCUGUAGUC
rnacentral:rRNA from 1 species